rnacentral:tRNA from 1 species
UCCCUGGUGGUCCAGUGGCUGGGAUUCUGCUUUCCCAGUGCAGGGGGCCCAGGUUCGAUUCCUGGUCAGGGGA